ACGCUCGACACCUACGGGAGGUAGCAGUGGGGAAUAUUGCACAAUGGGGGAAACCCUGAUGCAGCGACGCCGCGUGAGCGAAGAAGUAUUUCGGUAUGUAAAGCUCUAUCAGCAGGAAAGAAACUGACGGUACCUGACUAAGAAGCACCGGCUAAAUACGUGUCAGCAGCCGCGGUAAUCUGAGCGGGCUGGCAAGGC
rnacentral:rRNA from 1 species